UGCAAGUCGAACGCGAAAGUCCCCUUCGGGGGACAAGUAGAGUGGCGCACGGGUGAGUAACACGUAGGUAAUCUACCUUUGGAUGGGGAAUAACAAUCGGAAACGGUUGCUAAUACCGCAUAAUGCAGCGGCACCUAAUGGUGACAGUUGUUAAAGCGGGGGAUCGAAAGACCUCGCGUCUGAAGAGGAGCCUGCGGCGGAUUAGCUAGUUGGUAAGGUAAUGGCUUACCAAGGCUACGAUCCGUAACCGGCCUGAGAGGGCGGUCGGUCACACUGACACUGACAUACGGGUCAGACUCCUACGGGAGGCAGCAGUCGGGAAUUUUGGGCAAUGGGCGAAAGCCUGACCCAGCAACGCCGCGUGAAGGAUGAAAUCCCUCGGGAUGUAAACUUCGCAAGAACGGGAAGAAUAAGCGAAAGUUAAUAUCUUUCGUGAUGACGGUACCGUUUGUAAGCUCCGGCUAACUCCGUGCCAGCAGCCGCGGUAAUACGGGGGGAGCAAGCGUUGUUCGGAUUUACUGGGCGUAAAGGGCGCGUAGGCGGUCAGCACAAGUCAGUUGUGAAAUCUCCGAGCUUAACUCGGAAAGGUCAACUGAUACUGUGCGACUAGAGUGCGGAAGGGGCAACUGGAAUUCUUGGUGUAGCGGUGAAAUGCGUAGAUAUCAAGAGGAACACCUGCGGCGAAGGCGGGUUGCUGGGCCGACACUGACGCUGAGGCGCGAAAGCCAGGGGAGCGAACGGGAUUAGAUACCCCGGUAGUCCUGGCCUUAAACGAUGAAUGCUUGGUGUCUGGGGUUAUAUAGUCCCCGGGUGCCGUCGCUAACGCUUUAAGCAUUCCGCCUGGGGAGUACGGUCGCAAGACUGAAACUCAAAGGAAUUGACGGGGACCCGCACAAGCGGUGGAGCAUGUGGUUUAUU
rnacentral:rRNA from 1 species